rnacentral:rRNA from 1 species
UACGGGGGGAGCAAGGCGUUGUUCGGAUUUACUGGGCGUAAAGGGCGCGUAGGCGGCGUGACAAGUCACUUGUGAAAUCUCCGGGCUUAACUCGGAAGCGGUCAAGUGAUACUGUCGUGCUAGAGUGCGGAAGGGGCUACUGGAAUUCUCGGGUGUAGCGGUGAAAUGCGUAGAUAUCGAAGAGGAACACCUGCGGCGAAGGCGGGUAGCUGGGCCGACACUGACGCUGGAGGCACGAAGGCCAGGGGAGCAAACGGG